GAUAACUGGCUUGGAAUAGCCAAGUGUUUAUAGCAACGCCACUGUUUGAUCCUUCGAUGUCGGCUCUUCCUAUCAUUGUGAAGCAGAAUUCACCAAGUGUUAUAUUGUUCACCCAUUGGAAGCUGGGUUUAGAUCGUCGGUU
rnacentral:ncRNA from 1 species